AACAAUCCAGAUUGGGUUCCUUCAAUAAAUAUGGGGUAUAUAAACACAAUGAAAUGAGUUCCCCAAAAUCUAAAAUGGGAAUUAAGGUACCAAAGGAGAAUUAAAAGAAAAGGGUACCUACAAGAAAAAAUUGCUUUUUUAUUCCUCUUGAAAUGAUUUAUAAGACACUGGACUGUCUUAUAUUCUACAAAUACUAGAAUCAGCUGAGAGAAGUGGUCUACAAAAACCCAGGAAGGAAACGGAAUAUGUGGCUACGAAAGGCAAAAGAAAGGUUUACAAAGCAAAUGUGACACAUUUUUUUGAAAUAUUUAGGAAUAUCAGUAAAUUGCAUUAAAAAAAUGUAUGAAAAGAUUUUGUUCAAUAAAAAUGUUUAUAUUUA
rnacentral:lncRNA from 1 species